rnacentral:rRNA from 1 species
UGAACGCUAGCGGCAGGCCUAACACAUGCAAGUCGAGGGGUAGCAGGAUUAAGCUUGCUUAAUUGCUGACGACCGGCGCACGGGUGCGUAACGCGUAUGCAACCUACCUUAUACUGGGGUAUAGCCCGGAGAAAUUCGGAUUAAUCCCCCAUAGUACUAUUUGAUCGCAUGGUUGAAUAGUUAAAGCAUUGCGGUAUAAGAUGGGCAUGCGUCCUAUUAGCUAGAUGGUGAGGUAACGGCUCACCAUGGCUACGAUAGUAGGGGGCCUGAGAGGGUGGUCCCCCCACACUGGUACUGAGACACGGACCAGACUCCUACGGGAGGCAGCAGUGAGGAAUAUUGGUCAAUGGGCGCAAGCCUGAACCAGCCAUGCCGCGUGCAGGAAGAAUGCCCUAUGGGUUGUAAACUGCUUUUAUUUGGGAAUAAACCUCUUUACGUGUAGAGAGCUGAAGGUACCAAAUGAAUAAGCACCGGCUAACUCCGUG